UACGUAGGGGGGCUAGCGUUGUCCGGAUUUAUUGGGCGUAAAGAGCUCGUAGGCGGCUCGGUAAGUCAGGUGUGAAACCUCCAGGCUCAACCUGGAGACGCCACCUGAUACUGCCGUGGCUAGAGUCCGGUAGAGGAGCGUAGAAUUCCUGGUGUAGCGGUGAAAUGCGCAGAUAUCAGGAGGAAUACCAGCGGCGAAGGCGGCGCUCUGGGCCGGUACUGACGCUGAGGAGCGAAAGCGUGGGGAGCAAACAGG
rnacentral:rRNA from 1 species